UGUGAAAUGGUUGUCACGAGUUGGGUGUUA
rnacentral:piRNA from 1 species